GACGAACGCUGGCGGCGUGCUUAACACAUGCAAGUCGAACGAAGUGGCGAACGGGUGAGUAACGCGUAAUCAACCUGCCCUUCGGAGGGGGACACCAGUUGGAAACGACUGCUAAUACCGCAUACUGAUGGAGGGGAUUGCGUCUGAUUAGCUAGUUGGGGGGGUAACGCCCCACCAAGGCGAAGAUCAGUAUGCUGUGCGAGGGGAUGAACGGCCAAAUUGGGACUGGGACACGGCCCAGACUCCUACGGGAGGGAGCAGUGGGGAAUCUUCCGAAAUGGACGAAAGGCUGACGGAGCAACGCCGCGGGAGUGAUUACGGGCUUCGGGUUGGAAAGCUCUGUUAAUCGGGACGCGGUACCGGAAGAGAAAGCCACGGCUAACUACGUGCCAGCAGCCGCGGUAAUAC
rnacentral:rRNA from 1 species